UGGAGGGCAAGUCUGGUGCCAGCAGCCGCGGUAAUUCCAGCUCCAAUAGCGUAUAUUAAAGUUGUUGCAGUUAAAAAGCUCGUAGUUGAAUUUCGGGAUCAAUACGUCGGUCGUGCCUUCGGUACGNACUGGNGUCGUUGAUUNCUCCCUUCUGAUGAAACAUGAUGUCAUUAAUUUGAUGUUGUGGGGAGUCAGGACUGUUACUUUGAAAAAAUUAGAGUGUUUAAAGCAGGCAAACGCUUGAAUACAUUAGCAUGGAAUAAUGAAAUAGGACGUUCGAACCUAUUUUGUUGGUUUCUAGGUACAACGUAAUGAUUAAUAGGGAUAGUUGGGGGCAUUAGUAUUCAAUUGUCAGAGGUGAAAUUCUUGGAUUUAUUGAAGACUAACUACUGCGAAAGCAUUUGCCAAGGAUGUUUUCAUUAAUCAAGAACGAAAGUUAGGGGAUCGAAGACGAUCAGAUACCGUCGUAGUCUUAACCAUAAACUAUGCCGACUAGGGA
rnacentral:rRNA from 1 species